rnacentral:rRNA from 1 species
GACGAACGCUGGCGGUGUGCUUCACACAUGCAAGUCGAACGGGGUAGCAAUACCCAGUGGCGGACGGGUGAGUAACACGUGGGAAUCUACCAUUAGAUGGGGAAUAACAGCCCGAAAGGACUGCUAAUGCCGCAUAUGUAUGUAUCUCGACAGAGGUGUAUAUGAAAGGAGUAAUCCGUCUGAUGAUGAGCCCGCGUCCGAUUAGCUAGUUGGUAGGUAAAAGCCACCAAGGCGACGAUCGGUAGGUGGUCUGAGAGGAUGAUCACCACAAUGGGACUGAGACACGGCCCAUACUCCUACGGGAGGCAGCAGUGGGGAAUUUUGUGCAAUGGGCGAAAGCCUGACACAGCG